CCCAGCUGGCUUCACCUCUCACUGGAACUCCUGUGGGACUUUGCAGUACAUAACCUGGGCUCUCCCGCAACCCAGAGGGAGCUGUCCCAGACAACCAAGAGGAAAAGAGAGGAAGGGAGAAAGAGAGGGAGACCCGCCAGGGUGACCAGCAAUCCCACAAAGAGGGAACUGUGGUCCACGCACAGAAAUCAGCCUCCGAUCAAGGUCAGCCGGUGCUGGUCGGCUAUGCCAAGUGGAGGGCUUGCGGAGCCCAUGCUUAGGCGGAACCCGCGUGGGCCGAAUCUUCUUCUACACCCCUGAAAACCAUCCUUUGGAUCCCUUAGAAGAUACAUCAGGACAGGCUCACAUCUCUAAAUCAUGGACAAUCUGUGAAUUUCAGAAGACAUUCUGACAAGGAUAAAGAAAAGAGAAUUGCUGUUAUUCUCAAUGAGUUUAAGAGUUGCUCCGACAUCAGAGAUAGCAAGCAUGUUUUAAUUUUACUAUAUUUACCAAACAGCAAAACAACAAAGAAGAAAACUAAAACUUAAAGAAAAAAUGGAUGGAGAGUUUACAAUCAAUUAAUCCUAACUAAACAAGUGUUUUGAAAGAUAGGUGGUCAGUCCAAUCUAUUAAAAAAGGGGUGGUAGUCCAUUUGAAAAUUUUCAUGGAGUAAUGUCAAAGAGCAUAUGAUAACAGUAAAGAGUAAUCACAUGGUUAGGCUUGGUAGUAGUAACUUGGAAUUCAAAUUUCUGGGAGAGUACAGUACUUUAUCUGGAAGAUAACGUAAUAAUUUAAGCUACUGUAAUUUAUGAAAAUAAAAAAGUAA